rnacentral:rRNA from 1 species
UGGGGAAUAUUGGACAAUGGGCGAAAGCCUGAUCCAGCAACGCCGCGUGAGGGAUGACGGCCUUCGGGUUGUAAACCUCUUUCAGUAGGGACGAAGCGCAAGUGACGGUACCUACAGAAGAAGCACCGGCCAACUACGUGCCAGCAGCCGCGGUAAUACGUAGGGUGCGAGCGUUGUCCGGAAUUAUUGGGCGUAAAGGGCUCGUAGGCGGUUUGUCGCGUCGGGAGUGAAAACUCAGGGCUUAACCCUGAGCCUGCUUCCGAUACGGGCAGACUAGAGGUAUGCAGGGGAGAACGGAAUUCCUGGUGUAGCGGUGAAAUGCGCAGAUAUCAGGAGGAACACCGGUGGCGAAGGCGGUUCUCUGGGCAUUACCUGACGCUGAGGAGCGAAAGUGUGGGGAGCGAACAGG